GGCUUGAUGGCGUAAUGGUAACGCACUCCGUGUAUCGAUUGACGGAAAGUCCGGAGUUCAAUUCUCUGUCAAGCCG